UACGGGAGGCAGCAGUGGGGAAUCUUGCACAAUGGAGGAAACUCUGAUGCAGCGACGCCGCGUGAGCGAUGAAGCCCUUCGGGGUGUAAAGCUCUUUCGACGGGAACGAUAAUGACGGUACCCGGAGAAGAAGCUGCGGCUAACUACGUGCCAGCAGCCGCGGUAAUACGUAGGCAGCAAGCGUUGUUCGGAGUUACUGGGCGUAAAGAGUGCGUAGGCGGUGCCCUAAGUCUGUUGUGAAAUCUCCCGGCUUAACUGGGAGGGUGCGGUGGAAACUGGGGUGCUUGAGUGUGGGAGAGGUUGGCGGAAUUCCUGGUGUAGCGGUGAAAUGCGUAGAUAUCAGGAGGAACACCGGUGGUGUAGACGGCUAACUGGACCAUGACUGACGCUGAGGCACGAAAGCGUGGGUAGCAAACAGGAUUAGAUACCCUGGUAGUCCACGCCCUAAACGAUGCACACUUGGUGUGAGCCAUUCAUUUGGUUCGUGCCGGAGCUAACGCGUUAAGUGUGCCGCCUGGGGAGUACGGUCGCAAGGCUGAAACUCAAAUGAAUUGACGGAAGGGC
rnacentral:rRNA from 1 species